rnacentral:rRNA from 1 species
AAUGGGCGCAAGCCUGAUCGAGCAACGCCGCGUGCAGGAUGACGGCUUUCGGGUUGUAAACUGCUUUUCGAGGGGACGAUAUGGACGGUACCCUCGGAAUAAGCCUCGGCUAACUCUGUGCCAGCAGCCGCGGUAAGACAGAGGAGGCAAGCGUUGUCCGGACUUACUGGGCGUAAAGCGUCCGCAGGUGGCACGGCACGUAGCUGAUGAAAGGUGGCGGCUUAACCGCCACACGCUUGGCUAUACGGCCGCGCUGGAGCGCUGCAGAGGUCGGUGGAAUUGCCGGUGUAGUAGUGAAAUGCGUAGAUACCGGCAGGAACACCAAGGGGGAAGCCAGCCGACUGGGCAGCCGCUGACACUCAGGGACGACAGCGUGGGGAGUGAACUGGAUUAGAUACCCAGGUAAUCCACGCCGUAAACGAUGAAUGCUCGGCCUUUGGGGGUGUUAAAGCCCCUGGGGGU